rnacentral:rRNA from 1 species
GGGGAAUAUUGGACAAUGGGCGCAAGCCUCAUCCAGCCAUACCGCGUGGGUGAAGAAGGCCUUCGGGUUGUAAAGCCCUUUUGUUGGGCAAGAAAUCCAGCUGGCUAAUACCUUGUAGUUUUGACGUUACCAGCAGAAUAAGCACCGGCUAACUUCGUGCCAGCAGCCGCGGUAAUACGAAGGGUGCAAGCGUUAAUCGGAAUUACUGGGCGUAAAGCGCGCGUAGGUGGUUUGGUAAGAUGGAUGUGAAAUCCCCGGGCUCAACCUGGGAACUGCAUCCAUAACUGCCUGACUAGAGUACGGUAGAGGGUGGUGGAAUUUCCUGUGUAGCGGUGAAAUGCGUAGAUAUAGGAAGGAACACCAGUGGCGAAGGCGACCACCUGGACUGAUACUGACACUGAGGUGCGAAAGCGUGGGGAGCAAACA